CUUUACAAAGUAUCUGAGAUGGACAAGAAAGAAAAAUAUUUUCCAUCUUACCCUACCUCCACCUCAGAAGAAAGGUUUCCCUGGACUACAGAGCAGAGACUGGGAAAAGGAGUGUCCUAAAGAGAGGGUCCCUGGGUGACAAGUCUCCAGAAGGA
rfam:Pteropus alecto contig10886, whole genome shotgun sequence.